rnacentral:rRNA from 1 species
CUUUCCCUCUUUCCCCCGGCCUAACACAUGCAAGUCGAGCGGAUGAAGGGAGCUUGCUCCUGGAUUCAGCGGCGGACGGGUGAGUAAUGCCUAGGAAUCUGCCUGGUAGUGGGGGAUAACGUCCGGAAACGGGCGCUAAUACCGCAUACGUCCUGAGGGAGAAAGUGGGGGAUCUUCGGACCUCACGCUAUCAGAUGAGCCUAGGUCGGAUUAGCUAGUUGGUGGGGUAAAGGCCUACCAAGGCGACGAUCCGUAACUGGUCUGAGAGGAUGAUCAGUCACACUGGAACUGAGACACGGUCCAGACUCCUACGGGAGGCAGCAGUGGGGAAUAUUGGACCAUGGGCGAAAGCCUGAUCCAGCCAUGCCGCGUGUGUGAAGAAGGUCUUCGGAUUGUAAAGCGCUUUAAGUUGGGAGGAAGGGCAGUAAGUUAAUACCUUGCUGUUUUGACGUUACCAACAGAAUAAGCACCGGCUAACUUCGUG